UUUAAAUUUGCCGCUUGCAAGGCCGCCAACCUAACUCCACACAUUACACUUGAUUCUCUUAUAAUAGAUUUCUUUCAAACAAUAACUUCAAUGUACAAAUUUUCUGGGGCUUAUAUUUUAUUGUAAUUCCUAGGUCUUAAUAUAAAUAAUUUUCCAUAUAUCAGGUACAGUUCUUUCUUUUGCAACAUGGUUUAGGCUUUUGUGGUAACUAGCAUUCAAUUGAGGUUUUUUAGUAACAAACAUGGCAUAAACCAAUGGUAAUAAAUUAUAAAACAUAUAAGUUUGGGUACAAUAUUUUUUUUUCAUAAACAUAUGUUUGAGGGCUACAUACAUUCAAUAUAGAUGGCUUUGGCCAGCUGACUACUAGUUCUAGAUUUCAUACUGCUUACAGCAGAAUUUGCUAUCUAAACUCAUAGUUAACCUAACUACUACAUUUUUUCCUUUUAAAGGUAAUUAACAAAUUUUAAUUUUACUAUCCCCGCUUGUGUCCUUUUUUAUCUGAUGUAUAUUAUCAAAUUACAUACUUAAAAAAUUGUUCUUUGACUGUUUCAGGCUUCUAACAGUUGGAAGGAAUUAAAACGUCGGAUUGUUGCCAUGCGGUCUAUGCCAAGAUUAAAUUUAUCAUGAUAGGAAAGCUGCACUGAAUUCGUCCAACGUCCUGAAUUCGUGAUUAUGGAUCUGGAAGAACAUCAGAGGUUCACCGCUCAACAAACUGGAUAAUCGAAGACGCCAAAAAUUCCAAGAGGAUUCUUGGCGGUGAUUGAAGAUAUCUGGGCAGUGGACUCCAUCUCGCCCCCCUCAGCGUCGAUCUCCGCUACUAUCGCCGUCUGCAAUGUGUCUGCUACCUCACUUUGCACGGACGAAAAGAGACUCAUAUUUUAAAAAUGGAUAAAGUGUCAAGUGUUUGUAAAAAAGUGAAAGUUUUGGUUAACAAAAUAUUUAGUGAGGACACAAAUGAGGAUAGGCCUAUGGACAUACAAGCCAGGUAACCUAUUUAUUACUUAAGCUCUUAUGAUAUAAUAAUACUAUUCAUUGAUUUCUGACUAGCUUACAGACUGUGACUUAUACUUAAAAUAUUAAUGACAAAUUUCAGCAGUUUAGGCCCAUAAAAUAUAAUAGCUCUCUCUAUAAAAUAUAUUUUCUACAAUAAUAAUAAUAUAAAAAUUUCUUUAAAACACAUAAUUUCUCCUUAUUUAAAGCUA